CCUACGGGUGGCAGCAGUGAGGAAUAUUGGUCAAUGGGCGAGAGCCUGAACCAGCCAAGUCGCGUGAAGGAUGACUGCCCUAUGGUUUGUAAACUUCUUUUAUAGAGGAGUAAAGUGAGGCACGUGUGCCUUUUUGUAUGUACCUUAUGAAUAAGCAUCGGGUAACUCCGUUCCAGCAGCCGCGGUAAUACGGGGGAUGAGAGCGUUAUCCGGAUUUAUUGGGUGUAAAGGGAGCGUAGGUGGGUAGUUAAGGCAGUUGUGAAAGUUUGGGGCUCAACCAUAAAAUUGCAAUUGAAACUGGUUGCCUUGAGUAUAGUUGAGGUAUGCGGAAUUCGUGGUGUAGCGGUGAAAUGCAUAGAUAUCACGAAGAACUCCGAUUGCGAAGGCAGCUUACUAAACUACAACUGACACUGAGGCACGAAAGCGUGGGUAUCAAACAGGAUUAGAUACCCUUGUAGUC
rnacentral:rRNA from 1 species